CUUAUGUCUUGGGCUUCACGCAUGCUACAAUGGCCGGUACAAAGGGCUGCGAUACCGCGAGGUGGAGCGAAUCCCAAAAAGCCGGUCUCAGUUCGGAUUGGGGUCUGCAACUCGACCCCAUGAAGUCGGAGUCGCUAGUAAUCGCAGAUCAGCAACGCUGCGGUGAAUACGUUCCC
rnacentral:rRNA from 1 species